rnacentral:lncRNA from 1 species
UGGUCUUCCCAAAAAGCCUGGCUUUGCCUGGUAGCCUAUUUAAAAGCCAGUUUCACAACAAGAUUUUUACAUUUUCUAACAAAUUUAUCUGUAAAGAAGCUAUUAAACUUAUAAGCUAACGGGUUAAAUUAUACUAACACAAUUUUUUCAACAAUCAGACUUAUAAUAUUAUAAGCUACUGGGUAGAGAUGCAACUAAACGAGAUUAU